rnacentral:ncRNA from 1 species
GUUUCGGGGCGGGGUGAAAUUCCCCACCGGCGGUGAAGGAAAGCAAUUUCCGCAGUCCGCGAGCCUUUUGGUUGAAUCGGUGAAAAUCCGAUACCGACGGUAUAGUCCGGAUGAAAGAAU